CCUACGGGAGGCAGCAGUGGGGGAUAUUGCACAAUGGGGGGAACCCUGAUGCAGCGACGCCGCGUGGGUGAAGAAGCGCCUCGGCGCGUAAAGUCCUGUCAGCAGGGACGAAAAUGACGGUACCUGCAGAAGAAGCCCUGGCUACCUACGUGCCAGCAGCCGCGGUAAUACGUCGGGGGCAAGCGUUAUCCGGCUUUACUGGGUGGAAAGGGGGCGCAGACGGCGAGGCAAGCCAGGAGUGAAAGCCCGGGGCCCAACCCCGGGACUGCUCGUGGAACUGCGUGGCUAGAGUGCAGGAGGGGAAGGCGGAAUUCCUGGUGUAGCGGUGAAAUGCGUAGAUAUCAGGAGGAACACCGGUGGCGAAGGCGGCUUGCUGGACUGCAACUGACGUUGAGGCCCGAAAGCGUGGGGAGCAAACAGGAUUAGAUACCCUAGUAGUC
rnacentral:rRNA from 1 species